rnacentral:rRNA from 1 species
GGGGUGCUCGAGUGGCGAACGGGUGAGUAACACGUGAGUAACCUGCCCUUGACUUUGGGAUAACUUCAGGAAACUGGGGCUAAUACCGGAUAGGAGCUCCUGCUGCAUGGUGGGGGUUGGAAAGUUUCGGCGGUUGGGGAUGGACUCGCGGCUUAUCAGCUUGUUGGUGGGGUAGUGGCUUACCAAGGCUUUGACGGGUAGCCGGCCUGAGAGGGUGACCGGCCACAUUGGGACUGAGAUACGGCCCAAG